GAUGAACGCUAGCAGCAGGCUUAAUACAUGCAAGUCGAGGGGCAGCAUGAUUGUAGCAAUACAAUUGAUGGCGACCGGCAAACGGGUGCGGAACACGUACACAACCUUCCAAUAAGUGGGGAAUAGCCCAGAGAAAUUUGGAUUAAUACCCCGUAACAUAACGAUGUGGCAUCACAUUGUUAUUAUAGAUUUUUCGCUUAUUGAUGGGUGUGCGGCUGAUUAGAUAGUUGGCGGGGUAACGGCCCACCAAGUCUACGAUCAGUAGCUGAUGUGAGAGCAUGAUCAGCCACACGGGCACUGAGACACGGGCCCGACUCCUACGGGAGGCAGCAGUAAGGAAUAUUGGACAAUGGACGCAAGUCUGAUCCAGCCAUGCCGCGUGAAGGAUUAAGGUCCUCUGGAUUGCAAACUUCUUUUAUAAGGGACGAAAAAAGGCUUUUCUAAGUCGUCUGACGGUACCUUAUGAAUAAGCACCGGCUAACUCCGUGCCAGCCGCCGCGGUAAAAC
rnacentral:rRNA from 1 species